UCUUGUGUUGUUGGAAGAGGGUGCUUGCUAUGAUACGUGCGUUCUGUUGGCAAGGCUCUAUUAGCCUUUGCCCUGCUUCAUUUUGUACUCCAAGGCUAUAUUUUCCUGUUCCUCCAGGUGUCUCUUGCCUUCCUACUUUUGCAGUCCAU